rnacentral:rRNA from 1 species
UAGCGAAGGGGGCUAGCGUUGCUCGGAUUUACUGGGCGUAAAGCGCACGUUAGGCGGAUCGUUAAGUCGGGGGGUGAAAUCCUGGAGCUCAACUCCAGAACUGCCUUCGAUACUGGCGAUCUUGAGUCCGGAAGAGGUGAGUGGAACUCCUAGUGUAGAGGUGGAAUUCGUAAGAUAUUAGGGAAGAACACCCAGUGGGCGAAGGCCGGCUCACUGGUCCGGUACUGACGCUGGAGGUGAC